rnacentral:piRNA from 1 species
AACAAAGGGACAAAGACAACAGAAGGAUAA